GAAAACCAUUAUCAGACAAUAUCAGACCACGAUCUAUUUAAGAAAUUAAGCAUAUAAGCUAUUAUUUAUUUACAGGAUUCAUUUAUAACCUAACAUUUGUAUGCAUCAUUUUAUUUUCAAAGUUUAAACAAUGAUAUCUCAUUUCUACGAUGUUGGCAAGUUUGAAUUUUUUUUUCGAAGUCUUUCUUUUGAACAUUGUGUUUGUUACAAUUUUCGUUAAAUUUCCUUCCGUGUUGUCCAAAUUAAAGAGAUGCCGGACAAACGGACAUCAAUAUAGUUAUGAGGGUUCGUUUAUGUUGUGGCAAUGUGUUGCUCAGUCAUCAAUAAACUAGUAUCUCGGAGUUCGGAAAUUCCAUGAAAAACUCCAAAAGUAUUCGAAUUUGUCAUUAUUUUUUGUAAACUUCAAUUUUAUAUAUAAGUAAUUUUUGCGAACCUCAUUAUUAAAUUCAAUAAAACCCUACAACAGUACAAACUCAGAUGCCAAUGUUUGUAAGGGGGUGUCUAUCAUCCGGUCGGCACCGAAAGCAAGUACAUGUAUAUAUUAGACACAUAAAGACACACAUAUUAUAAAACAUAUGGCAAUAAUUUUCAAUUAAACAAACAGCUGCAGAUUGUAAAAAAAUGUGAUAUAAAAUUCACGAAUAAAUUACAAUAUUUGAGCACUACUUCACUACGGGCCUUAGGGUGCAGCAGGCUCCGCACCCCCAGAAACGAUCCUUCAAUAAUGUGAAUUUUCUUUGUUUGCGCGUGUUAUGUGUAUCACCAUAUGUGCCUGGGCACACAUUUGUGCUUUCCAUGAAUUCAAAGUGCUGAAAAAAUAUACACCAAUCUGAUUUAGUAUAUAUAUAAUUAUGUAAAUAAAAUAUAGAAAUCAGUUUUAAUACUUGUCUACAUGUACAUGUAUAUCAAUUUAGAUAAGCCUGUCUGCUGUUUUAAAAUAAAUACAAUGUAAUGAU
rnacentral:misc_RNA from 1 species